rnacentral:rRNA from 1 species
ACGGGUGCGUAACACGUGAGCAAUCUGCCGGGAAGUGGGGGAUAGCUCGCCGAAAGGCGAAUUAAUACCGCAUAUGGCCAGGAAGGACAUCCUUCCGAAGCCAAAGUCGCAAGACGCUUCCUGAUGAGCUCGCGGCCUAUCAGCUUGUUGGUGAGGUAACGGCUCACCAAGGCUAUGACGGGUAGCUGGUCUGAGAGGACGACCAGUCACACUGGAACUGAGACACGGUCCAGACACCUACGGGUGGCAGCAGUCGAGAAUUUUUCACAAUGGGGGAAACCCUGAUGGAGCGACGCCGCGUGGAGGACGAAGGCCUUCGGGUCGUAAACUCCUGUCAUGCGGGAACAAGAAAGUGAUAGUACCGCAAGAGGAAGAGACGGCUAACUCUGUGCCAGCAGCCGCGGUAAUACAGAGGUCUCAAGCGUUGUUCGGAUUCAUUGGGCGUAAAGGGUGCGCAGGCGGCGUGGAAAGUUGAGUGUGAAAUCCUGGGGCUUAACCUCAGAACUGCACUCAAUACUCCCAUGCUAGAGGAAUGUAGAGGAGAGUGGAAUUCACGGUGUAGCAGUGAAAUGCGUCGA